GACGAACGCUGGCGGCGUGCUUAACACAUGCAAGUCGAACGGAAAGGCCCUGCUUUUGUGGGGUGCUCGAGUGGCGAACGGGUGAGUAACACGUGAGUAACCUGCCCUUGACUUUGGGAUAACUUCAGGAAACUGGGGCUAAUACCGGAUAGGAGCUCCUGCUGCAUGGUGGGGGUUGGAAAGUUUCGGCGGUUGGGGAUGGACUCGCGGCUUAUCAGCUUGUUGGUGGGGUAGUGGCUUACCAAGGCUUUGACGGGUAGCCGGCCUGAGAGGGUGACCGGCCACAUUGGGACUGAGAUACGGCCCAGACGCCUACGGGAGGCAGCAGUGGGGAAUAUUGCACAAUGGGCGGAAGCCUGAAGCAGCAACGCCGCGUGCGGGAUGACGGCCUUCGGGUUGUAAACCGCUUUCGCCUGUGACGAAGCGUGAGUGACGGUAAUGGGUAAAGAAGCACCGGCUAACUACGUG
rnacentral:rRNA from 1 species